UCUCUCUCUCUCUCUCUCUCUCUCUCUCUCUCUCUCUCUCUCUCUCUCUCUCUCUCUCUCUCUCUCAGAAUAUAACUUGCCUCACUUUGUCUCUCAUUCUUCUGCGGGUUCUUAUGAAAGUCUCCUUGCUAGUCGUUUCGCGCUGUUUAUCUGCUUGUUGAAAUCAAAAUAUACCUCCAAAUAUGGCUGAUACAGAUCGGAAUCUUCUGUUUUUAAAGAAUAAACGUGUUCAGUUAAUCAGCAGAAUAAAAAACGUCACUGAAAUCGUUGAUCACCUCGAUUUAACCGGGGAACAAGCGGCGAAAGUGCGAGCAGAGAAGACAGAACAGGAGAAGAUGAGGAUGCUUCUGGAUUUUAUACAAAGCAGAACUGCUGCAGACAAUCUAGUCUCAGUCUUGUGGGAUCUCGCAAGAGACGUCAUGGAAGACCUGGAUGACGAGUACAUUUACAUCGCUCUGUUUCUAGACUUAGGGGGUCACGGUGGCUUAGUGGGUAGCACGUUCGCCUCACACCUCCAGGGUCGGGGGUUCGAUUCCCACCUCCGCCUUGUGUGUGUGGAGUUUGCAUGUUCUCCCCGUGCCU